rnacentral:rRNA from 1 species
ACGCACGCUGGCGGCGUGCUUAACCCAUGCAAGUCGAACGGAAAGACCCUGCUUUUGUGGGGUGCUCGAGUGGCGAACGGGUGAGUAACACGUGAGUAACCUGCCCUUGACUUUGGGAUAACUUCAGGAAACUGGGGCUAAUACCGGAUAGGAGCUCCUGCUGCAUGGUGGGGGUUGGAAAGUUUCGGCGGUUGGGGAUGGACUCGCGGCUUAUCAGCUUGUUGGUGGGGUAGUGGCUUACCAAGGCUUUGACGGGUAGCCGGCCUGAGAGGGUGACCGGCCACAUGGGGACUGAGAUACGGCCCAGACUCCUACGGGAGGCAGCAGUGGGGAAUAUUGCACAAUGGGCGGAAGCCUGAUGCAGCAACGCCGCGUGCGGGAUGACGGCCUGCGGGUUGUAAACCGCUUUCGCCUGUGACGAAGCGUGAGUGACGGUAAUGGGUAAAGAAGCACCGGCUAACUACGUG